CCCGGGCCCAAUUUCCUUGGAACAGGAGGUCAUGGAGGGUGAGGACCCCGUGUGUGGCUUGGUCGCCGUGGUCCUUGUGGCGUGCCCUCGAAGAGUCGGGUUGUUUGGGAAUGCAGCUCAAAAUGGGUGGUAAAUUUCAUCUAAAGCUAAAUAUUGGCGAGAGACCGAUAGCGAACAAGUAGAGUGAUCGAAAGAUGAAAAGCACUUUGAAAAGAGAGUGAAACAGUACGUGAAAUUGUUGAAAGGGAAGCGUUUGGCAUCAGCCCAUGGCGGCGGUCGAACAUCGGGGCUUCUGUCCCGUGCACUCGACCGCCGUCGGGCCAGCGUCGGCUUUGCCCGCCGGAUAAAGGCCUUGGGGAAGUGGCUCCACCAGGAGCGUUAUAACCCUUGGCGGCAUGCGGCUGGGCGGGGCCGAGGUCUGCGGUCUCAACCUAGGACGCUGGCGUAAUGGUUCCAAGCGACCCGUCUUGAAACACGGACCAAGGAGUCUAACAUCUAUGCGAGUGUUUGGGUGUCAAGCCCGACCGCGCAAUGAAAGUGAAUGCAGGCGGGAGC
rnacentral:rRNA from 1 species